UACGAAGGGGGCUAGCGUUGCUCGGAAUCACUGGGCGUAAAGCGCACGUAGGCGGAUGUUUAAGUCAGGGGUGAAAUCCCAAGGCUCAACCUUGGAACUGCCUUUGAUACUGGGGAUCUCGAGUCCGGAAGAGGUUGGUGGAACUGCGAGUGUAGAGGUGAAAUUCGUAGAUAUUCGCAAGAACACCAGUGGCGAAGGCGGCCAACUGGUCCGGUACUGACGCUGAGGUGCGAAAGCGUGGGGAGCAAACAGG
rnacentral:rRNA from 1 species